rnacentral:rRNA from 1 species
UACGUAGGGUGCGAGCGUUAAUCGGAAUUACUGGGCGUAAAGCGUGCGCAGGCGGUUCGUUAAGUCAGAUGUGAAAGCCCCGGGCUCAACCUGGGAACUGCAUUUGAAACUGGCGGGCUUGAGUGUGGCAGAGGGGGGUGGAAUUCCGCGUGUAGCGGUGGAAUGCGUAGAGAUCCGGAAGAACACCGGUGGCGAAGGCGGCCUGCUGGGCAGUUGCUGACACUGAGGCACGAAAGCGUGGGGAGCAAACAGG